CCUGAGGAAUGAUGACAAUAAAAGGCCGAAUUGCAGUGCCUGUAAACAGUUUCUCUCUAAAGGCAUGAUGACAAAACUCCUUGAAGCGACUUUUUUGUCUGACCUCAGC